AUGCACGCUGGCGGCGUGCCUAAUACAUGCAAGUCUCGCGAACAGAUGAGGAGCUUGCUCCUCUGACGUUAGCGGCGGACGGGUGAGUAACACGUGGAUAACCUACCUAUAAGACUGGGAUAACUUCGGGAAACCGGAGCUAAUACCGGAUAAUAUAUUGAACCGCAUGGUUCAAUAGUGAAAGACGGUUUUGCUGUCACUUAUAGAUGGAUCCGCGCCGCAUUAGCUAGUUGGUAAGGUAACGGCUUACCAAGGCAACGAUGCGUAGCCGACCUGAGAGGGUGAUCGGCCACACUGGAACUGAGACACGGUCCAGACUCCUACGGGAGGCAGCAGUAGGGAAUCUUCCGCAAUGGGCGAAAGCCUGACGGAGCAACGCCGCGUGAGUGAUGAAGGUCUUCGGAUCGUAAAACUCUGUUAUUAGGGAAGAACAAAUGUGUAAGUAACUAUGCACGUCUUGACGGUACCUAAUCAGAAAGCCACGGCUAACUACGUG
rnacentral:rRNA from 1 species